rnacentral:rRNA from 1 species
CGUUAAUUGAUUAUGACGUGCUUGCACUGAAUGAGAUUUUAACACGAAGUGAGUGGCGGACGGGUGAGUAACACGUGGGUAACCUGCCCAGAAGCAGGGGAUAACACCUGGAAACAGAUGCUAAUACCGUAUAACAGAGAAAACCGCCUGGUUUUCUUUUAAAAGAUGGCUCUGCUAUCACUUCUGGAUGGACCCGCGGCGCAUUAGCUAGUUGGUGAGGUAACGGCUCACCAAGGCGAUGAUGCGUAGCCGACCUGAGAGGGUAAUCGGCCACAUUGGGACUGAGACACGGCCCAGACUCCUACGGGAGGCAGCAGUAGGGAAUCUUCCACAAUGGACGCAAGUCUGAUGGAGCAACGCCGCGUGAGUGAAGAAGGGUUUCGGCUCGUAAAGCUCUGUUGUUAAAGAAGAACGUGGGUGAGAGUAACUGUUCACCCAGUGACGGUAUUUAACCAGAAAGCCACGGCUAACUACGUGCCAGCAGCCGCGGUAAUACGUAGGUGGCAAGCGUUAUCCGGAUUUAUUGGGCGUAAAGCGAGCGCAGGCGGUCUUUUAAGUCUAAUGUGAAAGCCUUCGGCUCAACCGAAGAAGUGCAUUGGAAACUGGGAGACUUGAGUGCAGAAGAGGACAGUGGAACUCCAUGUGUAGCGGUGAAAUGCGUAGAUAUAUGGAAGAACACCAGUGGCGAAGGCGGCUGUCUGGUCUGUAACUGACGCUGAGGCUCGAAAGCAUGGGUAGCGAACAGGAUUAGAUACCCUGGUAGUCCAUGCCGUAAACGAUGAUUACUAAGUGUUGGAGGGUUUCCGCCCUUCAGUGCUGCAGCUAACGCAUUAAGUAAUCCGCCUGGGGAGUACGACCGCAAGGUUGAAACUCAAAAGAAUUGACGGGGGCCCGCACAAGCGGUGGAGCAUGUGGUUUAAUUCGAAGCUACGCGAAGAACCUUACCAGGUCUUGACAUCUUCUGCCAACCUAAGAGAUUAGGCGUUCCCUUCGGGGACAGAAUGACAGGUGGUGCAUGGUUGUCGUCAGCUCGUGUCGUGAGAUGUUGGGUUAAGUCCCGCAACGAGCGCAACCCUUAUUACUAGUUGCCAGCAUUCAGUUGGGCACUCUAGUGAGACUGCCGGUGACAAACCGGAGGAAGGUGGGGACGACGUCAAAUCAUCAUGCCCCUUAUGACCUGGGCUACACACGUGCUACAAUGGAUGGUACAACGAGUCGCGAAACCGCGAGGUUUAGCUAAUCUCUUAAAACCAUUCUCAGUUCGGACUGUAGGCUGCAACUCGCCUACACGAAGUCGGAAUCGCUAGUAAUCGCGGAUCAGCAUGCCGCGGUGAAUACGUUCCCGGGCCUUGUACACACCGCCCGUCACACCAUGAGAGUUUGUAACACCCAAAGCCGG